rnacentral:rRNA from 1 species
GGGUCAGUAGGUUGGUCGUGCCACCGGUACGUACUGGUCUCACUGAUUCCUCCUUCCUGAAGAACCGUAAUGCCAUUAAUUUGGUGUUGCGGGGAAACAGGACUGUUACUUUGAAAAAAUUAGAGUGUUUAAAGCAAGCUAACGCUUGAAUACAUUAGCAUGGAAUAAUGAAAUAGGACGAUCGAUCCUAUUUUGUUAGUUUCUAUGAUUGACGUA